UGGUUGGUAAUUAAGAGCGAAUGGUGGAUGCCUAGACAUAAAAAGGCGAUGAAGGACGCAGCGUAACGGCGAUACGUCUCGGGGAGGUGUGUAGCAACCUUUGAUCCGGGAAUUUCCGAAUGGGGUAACCCAAUUGAGCAAACCUCAAUUAUCUGUCCACAUUUUUAGAUUUAAAACAAAAAGAUCUCAUUGCGAGAUCUUUAAAGGGGGGCGAUCCUCCCUCUGAAGGGGAAAGUGAAGCUCAACAUGCGGGCCUUCUUGCUGAGUUGAGGAGAAGUGCUGCCCGAGUCGAUCUUCUCUUUCAGUUCGGCCAGACUCUUUGCUUCCGCGGGUGUGGCGGUGAGCUGGAGCACAAGGCCCUUUUUGGAAAGAAGAAAGUCAGCUUUCAUAAAACCUCCGCUAAGAGACAUAGUAGUAUGGGAAAAGGAGUUGUCAAUUGAAUCUAGAAAUGUGGACAGAUGCGAACCCGCUGAAGUGAAACAUCUCAGUAAGCGGAGGAAGAGAGAACACGAGUUAUUCCCUGAGUAGCGGCGAGUGAAACGGGAAGAGCCUAAACCCAUUGUGCUUGCAUGGUGGGGGUUGUAAGGGAGAGACGCUCUCUUAGUUAUCACACAGUCAAACUUUCGUGGACUGUGUGAUGAUCAAGAGGUGGAGAAGUAAAAAAUUUAUUGGUUAGCCGAUGCUGUCUGGAAAGCAGCGCCAAAGAGGGUGAUAGCCCCGUAGGCGAAAGCUGAUAAACUUCUUAGUUUCUUUUCUUGAGUACUUCGAGACCAGACUAUUUCGAAGGAAUCCGGGAGUACUGUCUCCUAAGGCUAAAUACUUUUUAUGAUCGAUAGUGAACAAGUACCGUGAGGGAAAGGUGAAAAGCAGGCCGGUGAGGCCGUUGAAAUAGAACCUGAAACCAUUUGCUUACAAGGAACUGGGGCCCGUUACUGCUGUCGCAAGACAGUAAGGGGGUGACAGUGUGCCUAUUGAAGAAUGAGCCAACGACUUAUUACGUAUCCCUUGUCUAAGGAUCUCUGAUCUGGAGGCGUAGGGAAACCAAGUGUGAAUAGCGCGAACUUUGGGGGUGCGUAAUAGACCCGAAGCCAGAUGAGCUUACCAUGAGCAGGGUGAAUUCGUGAGAAAUCAUGAAGGAGGCCCGAACCGGUUGGUUGUUCAACACCUUCGGAUGACUUGUGGUAAGGAGUGAAAAGCUAAUCGAAUCUGGUAAUAGCUGGUUCUCUCCGAAACAGUUUUAGGACUGGCGGACGUGAUAAAUGUGUGGGGGGUAGAGCUACUGGUUCGGAAGUAAAGGGCGAAAGCUCGGCUUUCGAGUCAAACUCCGAAUACCUGCACAUCAGCGCGUCUAGUUAGAACGCGGGGGCUAAGCUCCGUGCUCAAAAGGGGAACAGCCCAGACCAUCAUCUAAGGUCCCUAAAUUUAUGCUAAGUGUGAAAGGAAGUUUUUCACCGCUGACAGAUAGGAGGUUGGCUUAGAGGUAGCCAUCCUUUAAAGAGUGUGUAACAACUCACUAUUCGAUGGUGAAGAGCGCCUAAAAUGUACCGGGGCUAAGCAUAGUACCGAAGAUAUGGAUCAGUAUGUUCUUCGGAACAUACUGGUGGUAGGAGAGCGUUUGUAUUGCAGUGAAGCUCCAGGCGCGAGCCGGAGUGGAGCGAUACGAAGUGCAAAUGUUGGCAUGAGUAACCCACUAUCUCAAUGCGAAAUUGAGACCCCGAAAAUCCAAGGUUUCCGUGGCACUGGCAAUCAACCACGGGUUAGGCGGACCUAAGGUCAUGGCGAAAGCCGCAGCCGAUGGACAGCUGGUUAAUAUUCCAGCCCUUCCACCUUUCAUAUCUGAGGGACGAAGAAAAUAACUAUCCGUGCCUUAUCGGUUUGGCAUCCUUUACUCUAAGACUGCGGUCGAGAGUCGAGGGAACAUCUGGUUUUUACCAGGUGAACGGAUAAGAAGAGUCUUCCGAGAAAAGCUCAGUAAAACGAAAGAAUGGAAACCGUACCGGAAACCGACACAGGUGGAUAGGGCGAGUAGCCCAAGGGGUACGAGUGAUUUCUUGUUAAGGAACUCGGCAAAAAAGCGGCCGUAACUUCGGGAUAAGGCCUGCCCUCUCGUCUUCGGACGGUGGGGCCGCAGCGAAAGUCUCUCUGGCGACUGUUUACCAAAAACACAGCUCCCUGCUAACUCGCAAGAGGAUGUAUAGGGGGUGACACCUGACCGAUGCGAGAAGGUUAACGGUGGCGGUGAUCCGAUUUAUCGGAGAGCCGACUGCCCGAAGCCCUCGUCAAUGUCAGCGGUAACUAUAACCGUUCUAAGGUAGCGCAAUUCCUUUUCGGGUAAGUUCCGAAGCGCACGAAAGGUGUAACGACUGGAGAACUGUCUCAACAAGAAGCUCGGUGAAAAUGCGAUUCCCGUGAAGACGCGGGAUACCUGUAGCGGGACGAAAAGACCCCGGAAGCUUUACUGCAGCUUGGUAUUGGCUUUAAGGUUUUAGUGCGUAGCGUAGUGGUGAGAGGUUGAAGCGAGGAUUUCGGUUCUCGUGGACUCGUCAAUGAAACAGCCAUCUCUAAAACUUUAAAUUCUAACUCGAGGAGAACCUCACAAGGGAAACUUCUCGAAGACAGUGCCUGGUAGGCAGUUUGAAUGGGGCGUUUUCCUCCCAAAAAGUAACGGAGGAGUUUAUUAAGGUCAGCUUGGCGCGGAUGGAAAUCGCGCUCGACGUAUAAAGGCAAAAGCUGGCUUGACUGCAAGACAUACAAGUCGCGCAGGCACGAAAGUGGAACUUAGUGACCCGACGGCAAUACUCUAUUUAUUCGUUUUGCCGUCAAGAAAGGCAAAACGAGUAGAUUGAGUCCUUUACAGAAAGGCCGGAGACAUCGGAUAAAAGCUACUCCGGGGAUAACAGGCUGGUUUCGUCCGAGAGUCCUUAUCGACGACGAAGCUCGGCACCUCGAUGUCGGCUCGCCCUAGCGCGGGGGUGGAGAAGCUCCCAAGCGUUUGGCUGUUCGCCAAUUAAAAGGGCACGCGAGCUGGGUUCAGACCGUCGUGAGACAGGUCGGUCUCUAUCUGCUACAGGCGUGAAAUACUUGAGGGGAGUUGACCCUAGUACGAGAGGACCGGGUUGAACAGACCUCUGGUCUACCGGCUUUACCACCAGGUGAAUGCCGGGUAGCUAUGUCUGGAAGGGAUAAGCGCUGAAAGCAUCUAAGCGCGAAGCCUACCCCAAGAUUAGGUAUAGGUCUCGUGGAAGACUACCACGUUGAUAGGCUCUCGGUGUAAGAUCAGCAAUGAUUUUAGCCAAGGAGUACUAAUGACCGUCGCCAACCAUC
rnacentral:rRNA from 1 species